rnacentral:rRNA from 1 species
GAUGAACGCUGGCGGCGUGCUUAACACAUGCAAGUCGAACGGGAAACCUUUUAUUGAAGCUUCGGCAGAUUUAGCUGGUUUCUAGUGGCGGACGGGUGAGUAACGCGUGGGUAACCUGCCUUAUACAGGGGGAUAACAACCAGAAAUGGUUGCUAAUACCGCAUAAGCGCACAGGACCGCAUGGUCCGGUGUGAAAAACUCCGGUGGUAUAAGAUGGACCCGCGUUGGAUUAGCUAGUUGGCAGGGUAACGGCCUACCAAGGCGACGAUCCAUAGCCGGCCUGAGAGGGUGAACGGCCACAUUGGGACUGAAACACGGCCCAGACUCCUACGGGAGGCAGCAGUGGGGAAUAUUGCACAAUGGGGGAAACCCUGAUGCAGCGACGCCGCGUGAAGGAAGAAGUAUCUCGGUAUGUAAACUUCUAUCAGCAGGGAAGAUAGUGACGGUACCUGAUUAAGAAGCCCCGGCUAACUACGUG